ensembl:lncRNA
AGAAGGGAAAGUGUGUCUUCAAUAUCAGCAGACAGGCCGCGACAGCAGACCCCCAGGCACCGGCUGGACCAUUCUCGGGCAGGCAGGCAGAGCGCAGCAAGGCAGAGCGACUGGCAGAAGACAGGAAGUGGAGGCUUCUGCAAAUGCUGCUCUGGAGGUACUUCAAACAGAAACGAGACACGCAGUACGUUACCACAGUCCUCCCGUGGAUUUCACUUACCCCCUCGGCACGUCUUCUGUGAAGUCGAUGCGGGCAUUCGGGCCUCCUCCUCUUCCUCCCCCAAGGACUGUGUCUAUCAAACUAUCACUGGAAUGUCGAACCAGGCCCCUGAAGCCCACACGUACAGCCACACUCAGCAGCACUCAGCACAUGUCUCCGACUGCCAGCACAGGGAAAGAGACGUGGUCAAUCACACCGGACAGCAGAGGAGAGAGGAAAGAGCGCUGGAGAGUGGGAGGCGGACAAGCAUUUCAUCAGCAGAAAAAAAACAUGUAAUGUGCAAAACACAUCACGUGAUGGCUAAAGCACUUCAUUUGUUGGCAGAAAUUCAUUAUCAUUGUAUUGAAUAUGAAACCUCCGCAUGUUAUCCUGAAACCAAUAGGUCAAGACCAGUUGCAGCCUCUGUCUCCUGCCAAAGUUAUUGCGUUUUUCAAAUACAAGACCACAUAUUUCAAAGAUUCUGCACGUUGCUUCAUGUCGCAAGCAUGACACUGCAUACUCGGAGGUUUACUCAAAAAAAAAAGUCAUUUGAAGAACUCAAUUUAUUUGUGAGCUGGAAUUCCAUCCGUAGACCUGACUCAAAAACAUUCAUGAAAUAGAAUUAAAUUGAUUUAGUCCAACUCAUUUUGAUGAAAUUCAUCUCAAAUGACUAGAUACCAUUAAUCAAAUAUAACAAAAUGUUGUUCAUUAAACUCAAUCUAAACUCAAAAAGUAAGUCAUUGGAUGAACUCAAUUUAUUUGUGUGCAGGAUUUCCAUCUAAUAAAUAUGUGUAGCCUCAAUCUAAGAACAUCCAUGCAAUUUUAAUAAAAUCCUUCUAAAACAAUUAUUUUACUUAACAUUUUUUAUUUGAUCCCCUAUUAAGACACAUGAAACAUAAUGUAGUUCAAGCGUUUUUAUUGCAAAUGCUCAGAGAAGUCAGAACUGACCAGCCAAUACAAUACAAAAUACAAAAUAAACCAUCUGAUCAGGAAAUUAAUUAACAAAAGUCCAAAAAUUAUCAAGUGCAUUGUGUAUUUCCAUUAAUAACAAUGUAAGUUAAUAUCAACUAGCCUGUACUAUACUGUACUCGGUCCUCAGUACGAGUGUUAGUGUUAGUUUUAAUUGGUUUAGUCAUAAAACGCAGGUAAGUGAUGCAAUAGCUUCCCGGCUAAGCUAAUAUAAUAUGAGCUAAGACCACUUGUUACCUUGGUUACGAUAACCACUUUCAGGCGGCGCCCCGAAGGAAUGCAACUUGUAAAUAUUGAUGCAUUGUAACGUUGAGAGACAGUAAUACAGGAUAAUUUAUAUUAUAGAUUUAUAUUUAUAUGUAUGUAGCCUAUAUAUAUUUUUCUUUUUUUAGUUUUUUUUUAUUGUAUUUGUCUAAUUUAACAUUUUUUUUCAUAAAGCUCCAACCAAAUCUAAUAUUUUGUUUCUUUGACUCUUCAUUGUUCGAUUGUUAAGUAUUUGAAUGUGAUUUAUACGUUAUAACCUACACAAUUGAUAUUCAUUUUGCAAAGUCAAGGCAGCUGUCAUGAAGUCGAGGCGAAUGCCUUGUGAAAUCGUGACGUCACCGCAACCUGCAACAGGAAGUGCCUCAGCGGGUUGCCAGUGCCACGACUUGUGCUAGCUCCUACUGCUGC